rnacentral:rRNA from 1 species
ACUUGGACAACUAGGAAGUUGGCUUAGAAGCAGCCAUCCUUUAAAGAAAGCGUAACAGCUCACUAGUCAAGUUAUCUUGCACUGAAAAUUUAACGGGGCUUAAAUCUAAUACCGAAGAUGAGGAUCGUUCGUGUCAAGUGAAAACGAGACACGAACGUUGGUAGGAGAGCAUUCUUUUGGCAGUGAAGUCAAAUCGUAAGAUUUGGUGGAGCUAAAAGAAGAGAGAAUGUUGGUAUAAGUAAUAAAAAUUCCGGCGAGAAACCGGAACACCGCAAAUCCAAGGUUUCCCGGGCACUGAUUAUCAGCCCUGGGUUAGGCGGUCCUAAGUCUAAAACCGAAAGGUCAAGAUGAUGGACAGACGGUUAAUAUUCCGUCCCUUCUUUACUCCUCGAUGGGGUGACGUUUCUUUUUACUUUGAGCAUGAUCUGGCUAUUCGUGUCUAAGAAAAAAGUGGGUCUCUUUGGCAAAUCCGAGAGAUAAAAACUUUUUUCCCACGGAAUCCCCGCAAGGGGAAACUCAAGGGUCGAAGGAACCAAGAAAAACCUCUAAGAAUAAGAGUAAAGAAACCGUACCGCAAACCAACACUGGUGGAUGAGGAGAGUAUCCUCAGGUGGACGAGAGAACCCUCGUUUAGGAACUCGGCAAAAAAGCGGUCGUAAGUUCGCAAUAAGACCUUCCCCUUCUUCGGAAGGGGACGCAGCGAAAGUUUGUCAAGCGACUGUUUAAUAAAAACACAGGUCCCUGCUUAAAACCGUAAGGUGAUGUAUAGGGGCUGAUGCCUGGCCAGUGUCAGAACGUUAAGAGGAGGGGUGACGCCGAUGCUUCGCAUCGGUGAAGCUCUGAAUCGAAGCGCUGAUGAACGCCGGCGGUAACUAUAACCGUCUUAUAGUAGCGAAAUCCCUCGCCGGGUAAGUUCCGGCCCGCACGAAUGGCAUAACGACUUGACAACUGUCUCAACGAGGGACUCGAUGAAAUUGCAAUGGGCGUGAAGACGCGCUCUAUCCACGGCUAGACGGAAAGACCCCGUGAAGCUUUACUACAACUUGAUAUUGGAUUAAGGUUGAAUCUGUUCAGCGUAGGUGGGAGUUCCCUUCUUUAUAAGAAAGGGACGCCAAUGAGACACCACCCUGAUUUAAUUUUGAUUCUUAUCCGGCUUGAAAACCGGAGACAGUGUCUGGUGGGUAGUUUGACUGGGGCGGUCGCCUUUAAAAGAGUAACAAAGGCGCUUAUAAGGUCAGCUUAGGUCGGAUGGAAAUCGACCCAGACGUGUAAAGGCACAAGCUGGCUUUACUGCAAGACCGACGAGUCGAGCAGUUGCGAAAGCAGAACUUAGUGAUCCGACGCUUGCAUAUAGAAGCGGCGAAGCUCAACGGAUAAAAGCUACUCCGGGGAUAACAGGCUAGUCAGGCCUGAGCGUUCCUAGCGACGGCCUGGAUCGGCACCUCGAUGUCGGCCCAGCACAUCCUGGGGGUGGAGAAGCUCCCAAGGGUUUGGCUGUUCGCCAAUUAAAGUGUUACGCGAGCUGGGUUUAGAACGUCGCAAGACAGUUCGGUCCCCUACCUGCCGUGGACGUUGGAAACUUGAGAGGACUCUUCGAUAGUACGAGAGGACCUCGAAGAACAAACCUCUAGUGUACCGGUUGUUCUGCCAAGAGCAUUGCCGGGUAGCUACGUUUGGCGCGGAUAAACGCUGAAAGCAUCUAAGCGUGAAGCCGUCCUCAAGAUGAAGUUUCCUUAUAGGCUCCUAGGAGAUUACUAGGUUGAUAGGCUCUAGGUGUAAGACUGGCAACAGUUUUAGCCAAGGAGUACUAAUAGCCAAAUUCUAAUCCAC